rnacentral:rRNA from 1 species
GGUUCGAUUCUGGCUCAGAUUGAACGCUGGCGGAUCGCUGCGCGCAGUCGAACGGCGGCACGGACUUCCGGUCUGGUGGCGAGUGGCGAACACGGGUGAACAAAUGUAUCGGAACGUGCCUAGUAGCGGGGGACAAUAACUUCACGCGUAUGUAUGCCGCAUACGCCCUUCGGCGGGAAAGCAGAGGACCCCUUCGGGCCUCCCGCACUAUUGAAGCGGCCGAUAUCGGAUUAGCUGGACCGGGUGAGGUAACGGCUCCCGCAAGGCGACGAUCCGUAGCUGGUUUGAGAGGACGACCAGCCACACUGGGACUGAGACACGGCCCAGAUCUCCUACGGGAGGCAGCAGUGGGGAAUUUUUGGUGCCGUGGAAACCCACGGUCCCGGCCGCUCGCAUGUGCGAUGAGGCGCUUCGGGUUGUAAACACUUUUGGCGGGAAAGAAACGGCGCGGGAUAAUACCCCGUGCAACCAGCGGUACCUGCAGAAUGGCACUGACUAAUACGUGCCAGCAGCCGCGGUAAUACGUAGGGUGCAAGCGUUAAUCGGAAUUACUGGGCGUAAAGCGUGCGCAGGCGGUUCGGAAAGAAGAUGUGAAAUCGAGCAACUUUUGGAACUGCAUUUUUAACUACCGAGCUAGAGUCUGUAUCAGAGGAGGUGGAAUUCCGCGUGUAGCAGUGAAAUGCGUAGAUAUGGAGGAACACCGAUGGCGAAGGCAGCCUCUGGAUAACCGCGGCGCUAUUACACGAAAGCAUUGGGAGCAAACAGGAUUACGAUACCCCUGGUGAUCCGCGCCCUAAACGUCUCAACCAUUUAUUGGGGCCUUCGGGCCUUGGUAAUGCCCCAGCUAACGCGUGAAGUUGACCGCCUGGGAAUACGGUCGCAAGAUUAAAACUCAAGGAAUUGACGGGGACCCGCACAAGCUGUUGGAUGGAGAUGUGGAUUAAUUCGAUACAACGCGAAAACAUACCUACCACUUGACAUGUCUGGAAUCCCGAAGAGAUUUGGGAGUGCUCGCAGAGAACCGGAACACAGGUGCUGCAUGGCUGUCGUCAGCUCGUGUCGUGAGAUGUUGGGUUAAGUCCCGCAACGAGCGCAACCCUUGUCAUUAGUUGCUACGAAGGGCACUCUAAUGAGACUGCCGGUGACAAACCGGAGGAAGGUGGGGAUGACGUCAAGUCCUCAUGGCCCUUAUGGGUAGGGCUUCACCCACGUCAUACAAUGAGGCCGGGACAGAGGGUCGCCAACCCGCGAGGGGAGCCAAUCCAGAAACCGAAUAGUAGUCCGGAUCAUGAUCUGCAACUCGACUGCGUGAAGUCAAGAUCGCUAGUAAUCGCGGAUCAUGUCGCGGUGAAUACGUUCCGGGUCUUGUACACACCGCCCGUCACACCGUAAAUUGGGUUUACCAGAAGUAGUUAGCUGUGGGAGGGGGGGCGGUGCUGCACAGUAGGAUUCAUGACUGAGGGUGAAGUCGUAACAAGGUAG